rnacentral:rRNA from 1 species
UACGUAGGUGGCAAGCGUUGUCCGGAUUUACUGGGCGUAAAGCGCGCGCAGGCGGUUCGGUACGUCCGGCGUGAAAGCUCCCGGCUCAACUGGGAGAGGGCGUUGGAUACGGCCGGACUGGAGGGCGGUAGAGGUCGGUGGAAUUCCCGGUGUAGUGGUGAAAUGCGUAGAGAUCGGGAGGAACACCUGUGGCGAAGGCGGCCGACUGGGCCGUCCCUGACGCUGAGGCGCGAAAGCGUGGGGAGCGAACCGG